ensembl:lncRNA
GGAAAAUCACUCCUGUAGAAUGCAGAUACACAAUGAGGGACGUCUGCAGCGACUGAGAAAGAGUCUCACCACAUCCUGACAUGAGGAAAAAGACUUUAUUGAAGACUACAAUGAGAAAAACUAUCAGACAGCAGACGGCUGCAUUCAAGGUGAGCUCUGAACAUUUGAUCUGGAACAGGAAUUCAAUAACGGCAGCAUGAGCUUCAUUUCAGUCUGUAGCUGCUGAAUUCAUGGAUGAAUCAUCUGGCACUAGAGAAGAAGACCAUCAAACAUCCACGUCAGCUGAUGGAGGUCCAAGAGUCUCACCAAACAAACAACCUACAGAGUGAAGACCUCAAAUCUGAUUGGACGGCCUCCUAUUCAGCCACAUGUGUGAACAAAUGCCUCUAAGCUGAUUUGUUUUCUAAAAUAAAUCUAGUUUGAG